rnacentral:rRNA from 1 species
GAUGAACGCUGGCGGCGUGCCUAACACAUGCAAGUCGAGCGAACGGACGAGAAGCUUGUUUCUCUGAUGUUAGCGGCGGACGGGUGAGUAACACGUGGAUAACCUACCUAUAAGACUGGGAUAACUUCGGGAAUCCGGCGCUUAUACCGGAUAAUAUUUUGAACCGCAUGGGUCAAAAGUGAAAGACGGCCUUGCGGUUUCUUAUAGAUGGAUCCGCGCUGCAUUAGCUAGUUGGUAAGGUAACGGCUUACCAAGGCGACGAUGCAUAGCCGACCUGAGAGGGUGAUAGCCCACACGGGAACUGGGACACGGUCCAGACUCCUACGGGAGGCAGCAGUAGGGAAUCUUCCGCAAUGGGCGAAAGCCUGACGGAGCAACGCCGCGCGAGUGAUGAAGGUCUUCGGAGCGUAAAACCCGGUUAUUAGGGAAAAACAUAUGUGUAAGGAACUGUGCACAUCUUGACGGUACCGAAUAAGAAAGCAACGGCUAACUACGUG